CAGUCGCCACGGGAAUACGAAGGGGGCUAGCGUUGCUCGGAAUUACUGGGCGUAAAGGGAGCGUAGGCGGACAUUUAAGUCAGGGGUGAAAUCCCAGAGCUCAACUCUGGAACUGCCUUUGAUACUGGGUGUCUUGAGUGUGAUAGAGGUAUGUGGAACUCCGAGUGUAGAGGUGAAAUUCGUAGAUAUUCGGAAGAACACCAGUGGCGAAGGCGACAUACUGGAUCAUUACUGACGCUGAGGCUCGAAAGCGUGGGGAGCAAACAGGAUUAGAUACCCGAGUAGUCCCUGUCUCUUAUAC
rnacentral:rRNA from 1 species